AUGCCUACCAUUGAUUCUGAAACUGUAGCACUUACAACAGUAUUGAUACAUGUCACAAUAAAGCCCCCGGUGUUUCGACGAGGGCAUUCAUUCAAGAAAACAGACCUUAAAAAUGACAGAAACACCAGUGCUGGUAUUGGUUAUCAUCCAUUGUACAUCACACUUUGUAUGUUCUUAGUGAAAGUAUUCUGUCUAAUGUGUUGCGAUCCACAGUCACAAGGGGAGCAGAAAUGCCUACCUAGCUAUGUAUCUACACCUCACCCCUGCGGCUUGCUUUGUACAAACCUUGGUUCUCUUGUUUCUUCUAUAUAUAGAAAGGGAAGUUGUAGUAACAAAAAAAAAUCUUUGAAAAGCAUCAUAGCAAAGUAUUUGCCCGGUAUGGUUGAAGCCAAGAGUACGGUUGAAGACUCUGCACGCUUCCAUACCCAAACCCAUCUCCAUCUGCUCCCUGUUCAUCAGAUGCAGCAUGUUCAGGGGUGGUUUAGUGCAAAAAUAACCGUUUGUUGCAUUGGUAACCUACUAGGACUCACACUUGGCUGA
rnacentral:rRNA from 1 species